AAUCAACGCUGGCGGCGUGCCUCAGACAUGCAAGUCGAACGAUUAAAGCUCUCUUCGGAGAGUGUAUAGAGUGGCGCACGGGUGAGUAACACGUAAGUAAUCUACCUUUGAGUGGGGAAUAACAGUCGGAAACGACUGCUAAUACCGCAUAAUGCAGCGGCAUCGCAAGAUGACAGUUGUUAAAGGAGCAAUCCGCUUAAAGAGGAGCUUGCGGCAGAUUAGCUAGUUGGUAAGGUAAUGGCUUACCAAGCUACGAUCUGUAUCCGGUCUAAGAGGACGGUCGGACACACUGACACUGAAUAACGGGUCAGACUCCUACGGGAGGCAGCAGUCGGG
rnacentral:rRNA from 1 species